CAACGGUCCAGUAUUUGAACAGCCAUCCUACAACAAAACUGUGUCUGAGGCAGAACCUGUGAACACCAUAAUUCUUCAAGUGAAAGCAGAGGAUGAUGACAUCACGCCAGCGUAUAAUGAAGUGACAUAUUCCAUGGAACCAACCUCAGAAGACUUCAUGAUGAACAGCUCUGGAGCUCUUAUUUUAAAGAGACCUUUGAACUACACUUUAGUUCAAUCAUACAACUUCACUGUGA